rnacentral:lncRNA from 1 species
GCAGGUUGCAAGUCAGGUUGGAGUGGCGGCUCAGUUGGGUUCCAGCAAGGGCCCUCUUCCUGGUUUACAGACAGCAGCCUUCUUACUUAUACAGGAUUUAGUUCCACCAAAGUCGUUGAUACCAUCAGGAUCAUCAGUGACCCGGGUCAGGGACGUGCUGCUGGCUCUCCAUUACAUUCCAGAGACACUCUAGGGGCUGUGGCAACAAAGGGACUGUGACUGUGGCUGAAAACAAAAUAGGACCCAACCUUGGCCUUGGCGAUCCAACCAGAGUGAGUUCCUAGGACCUUGAUAUACCACCUCAGGGGGAUUCUCCUUGCUCUUCCGCCGAGUGGAAAAUAAGAAACUUUCUGGUCACGGAGGGUCUUC